UAUAAGUAUAAACGCAUUAAGCGUGAAACCGCGAACGGCUCAUUACAACAGCUAUAAUUUACUUGAUCUUGACAAACUUACAUGGAUAACUGAGGUAAUUCUUGAGCUAAUACAUGCACCAAAGCUUUGACCGUAAGGGAAGAGCGCAUUUAUUAGAACAAAACCAAACGGCUUCGGCUGUUCCCAGUUGAAUCAGAAUAACUCAGCUGAUCGUACGGUCUUGCACCGACGACGUGUCUUUCAAGUAUCUGCUUUAUCAACUUUCGAUGGUAGGGUAUCUGCCUACCAUGGUGGUGACGGAUAACGGAGGAUCAGGGUUCGACUCCGGAGAAGGGGCCUGAGAAAUGGCCACUACGUCUAAGGAUGGCAGCAGGCGCGCAAAUUACCCACUCUCAGAAUUUGGAGGAGGUAGUGACGAGAAAUAACGAGGUUGGCCUCUUCUGAGGCCAACCAUCGGAAUGGGUACAAUUUAAACCCUUUAACGAGUAUCUAUGAGAGGGCAAGUCUGGUGCCAG
rnacentral:rRNA from 1 species